GACAGAGGUGGCAAGCGUUGUCCGGAGUUACUGGGCGUAAAGGGCGCGGAGGCGGUCUGCGGCGUCGGCGCUGAAAGCGCCCCGCUUAACGGGGCGAGGCGUGCCGAUACGCGCAGACUUGAGGCGAGCAGAGAGUGGUGGAAUUCCGGGUGGAGCGGUGAAAUGCGUAGAGAUCCGGAGGAACGCCAGUGGGGAAGCCGGCCACCUGGGCUCGUCCUGACGCUGCGGCGCGACCGCGUGGGGAGCAAACCGG
rnacentral:rRNA from 1 species